CGUGCUUAAUACAUGCAAGUCAACUUGACUUUAGAUAGCAAUAUCGAAAGUAGGGUGGCGCACGGGUGCGUAACGCGUAGGUAAUCUGCCCUGAGGUCUGACAUAACCCGUCGAAAGGCGGGCUAACAUCAGAUGAUAUAUAAUCACGACAUCGUGGAAAUAUCAAAUCUUCGGAGCCUUGGGAUGAGCCUGCGUCUGAUUAGGUAGUUGGCGGAGUAAUAGCCCACCAAGCCUACGAUCAGUAGCUGGUCUGAGAGGAUGAUCAGCCACACUGGAACUGAGACACGGUCCAGACUCCUACGGGAGGCAGCAGUAAGGAAUAUUGCUCAAUGGGGGGAAACCCUGAAGCAGCAACGCCGCGUGAAGGAUGAAAUACUUUUGUAUGUAAACUUCUGUAAGAUGGGAAAAAUAUUCUCCUCGGGAGAAUUGAUUGUACCAUCAGAGUAAGCCCCGGCUAACUACGUG
rnacentral:rRNA from 1 species